rnacentral:rRNA from 1 species
AGAUGAUACCUGGCCUGAUUAGCUAGUUGGUGAGGUAAAGGCCUACCAAGGCGACGAUCAGUAGCCGGCCUGAGAGGGUGUACGGCCACAAUGGAACUGAGACACGGUCCAUACUCCUACGGGAGGCAGCAGGUUAAGA